UUGGUUAGACAAUGGUAAAACCAAGUUAAGGUUAAAUCUUUUCAUGGUAUUAAAAGCAUUAUAAGGAUCGAGAUUAGCAUGGUGUUAAAAUCUCUCAAGGUAUUGGUUAUCCCGUGGUAAAAUCAAGGUUUAAGUUUUAUGAGUUCAACCCAGUGUUAAAAGCUUGCAAAGUUAUUUUAUAAGCUUGAAUACUAACACAUCUAAUAUUCUCGUGGAAAUGAGACCAAC
rnacentral:lncRNA from 1 species